CUGCAACUCGCCUACACGAAGCUGGAAUCGCUAGUAAUCGCAGGUCAGCAUACUGCGGUGAAUACGUUCCCGGGUCUUGUACACACCGCCCGUCACACCAUGGGAGCCGGAAAUGCCCGAAGCCAGUGACCCAACCUUAGGGAGGGAGCUGUCGAAGGUGGAGCCGGUAACUGGGGUGAAGUCGUAACAAGGUACC
rnacentral:rRNA from 1 species